rnacentral:rRNA from 1 species
GAUGAACGCUAGCUACAGGCUUAACACAUGCAAGUCGAGGGACCGGCGCACCGGUGAGUAACACGUAUCCAACCUGCCCUUUACUCGGGGAUAGCCUUUCGAAAGAAAGAUUAAUACCCGCUAUAAAGGAUGGGGAUGCGUUCCAUUAGGUUGUUGGUGAGGUAAAGGCUCACCAAGCAUUCGAUGGAUAGGGGUUAGGAGAGGAAGGCCCACCACAUUUGAACUGAGACACUGUCCACAACCCUACGAGAGGCAGCAGUGAGUAAUAUGAGUCAAUGGGCGCUAGCCUGAACCAGCCAAGUAGCGUGAAGGAUGAAGGCUUAUGAGUCGUAAACUUCUUUUAUAUAAGAAUAUGUAUUAUAUGAAUAAGGAUCGGCUAACUCCGUGCCAGCAGCCGCGGUAAUUC